UACGUAGGAUCCAAGCGUUGUCCGGAUUUACUGGGUGUAAAGGGUGCGCGGGCGGACUUGUUAGUCAGAGGUGAAAUCUCACUGCUCAACAGUGAAACUGCCUUUGAUACUGCAGGUCUUGAAUCCAGAAGAGAGUUGUGGAAUUCCGAGUGUAGCAGUGAAAUGUGUAGAUAUUCGGAAGAACACCAGCGGCGAAGGCAGCAACUUGGUCUGGUAUUGACGCUCAGGCACGAAAGCAUGGGGAUCAAACAGG
rnacentral:rRNA from 1 species